rnacentral:snoRNA from 1 species
UCGCACCUUGCACUCUACGCCUCUCCUCUCAAUGGGUUGGUUAGAUUUAUUAAGGAUGCAAUAGAGAAUCGGGAAGUUCGAAGACUUGCUUGGCCUUAUUCGGUCCCGCGAGUUCAAAACUAUCACCACAUUU